rnacentral:rRNA from 1 species
UACGGAGGGUGCGAGCGUUUAUCGGAAUUACUGGGCGUAAAGCGUGCGUAGGCGGAUGCUUGAGUCGGAUGUGAAAGCCCCGGGCUUAACCUGGGAAUGGCAUUCGAUACUGGGCAUCUAGAGUGUGGUAGAGGGGGGUAGAAUUCCUGGUGUAGCGGUGAAAUGCGUAGAUAUCAGGAGGAAUACCGGUGGCGAAGGCGACCCCCUGGACCAACACUGACGCUGAGGUACGAAAGCGUGGGUAGCAAACGGG